rnacentral:rRNA from 1 species
AAGACCUUACGCUUUUGGAGCGGCCGAUGUCUGAUUAGCUUGUUGGUGAGGUAAAGGCUUACCAAGGCUUCGAUCAGUAGCUGGUCUGAGAGGACGACCAGCCACACUGGGACUGAGACACGGCCCAGACUCCUACGGGAGGCAGCAGUGGGGAAUUUUGGACAAUGGGGGCAACCCUGAUCCAGCCAUGCCGCGUGAGUGAAGAAGGCCUUCGGGUUGUAAAGCUCUUUCAGCCGGAACGAAACGGUUACGGUUAAUACCCGUGAUUACUGACGGUACCGGAAGAAGAAGCACCGGCUAACUACGUGCCAGCAGCCGCGGUAAUACGUAGGGUGCGAGCGUUAAUCGGAAUUACUGGGCGUAAAGCGUGCGCAGGUGGUUUUGUAAGUCAGAUGUGAAAUCCCCGGGCUUAACCUGGGAACU